rnacentral:rRNA from 1 species
ACGGCGAGUGAAGCGGGAAGAGCUCAAGUUUGAAAUCCAGCACCCCUUCAUGGGGUGCGGGAGUUGUAACCUAGAGGAGCGUGUUCGCCUGCCGGUGGGGCUGCGGUUAAGUCCGAUUUGAAAAGGGCACCAAGGAGGGUGGCAGUCCCGUUCGUACCGUGGUCCUUCCGGCGAUGUGGCCCGCUUCCGACGAGUCGAGUUGCUUGGGAUUGCAGCUCAAAGUGGGUGGUAAACUCCAUCCAAAGCUAAACACGUGUGGGAGACCGAUAGCGAACAAGUACCGUGAGGGAAAGAUGCAAAGAACUUUGAAAAGAGAGUCAAAGAGUGCCUGAAAUUGCUGAGAGGGAAGCGAAGGAAAGUAGUGUCGAUCGAGGGGAUCUUGCACAUGGGGAACGGCUCGGUGGUUGUUGUUUCUACUGGGCCCUCCCCAUUAUCCCCCGCGUUGUCAGGGGCGGGUGUGGUCAAGUCGGUGGCUGCGGCAUGCUAAGUAUAGGUUUUCCGAGGUAACAGCCGGACGAAUGCUGUGUGUGUGCGCCCCG